rnacentral:rRNA from 1 species
UUGUGCUAAGGUAGCAUAAUCAUUUGUCUUUUAAUUGAAGACUAGAACAAAAGAUUGAACAAUUUAAUUAAUAUAUAAAAAUUAAUAUAUUAAACUUAUUUUAAAAGUAAAAAAACUUUUAUAUUAAAGGAAGACGACAAGACCCUAUUAAACUUAACUUUAGUUUAACUGGGGCAGUUAAUCAAUUAUUAUUUUAAUAAAAAUAUAAAAACAAAAGAUCCAGUAAAAUUGAUUAAAUGAUCAAGUUACUAUAGGGAUAACAGCGUAAUAUUAAUCUAAAGAUCUUAUUUAAAUAAAAGUUUGCGACCUCGAUGUUGAAUUAAUAACCUAAAUUAUUGCAGUAAA